rnacentral:tRNA from 1 species
AGUGUUGUGGCUCAGUGGUAGAGCACUUGCCUAGCACAUGCAAGGCCCUGGGUUCAAUUCUCAGCAUCACAU